rnacentral:rRNA from 1 species
GAUGAACGCUGGCGGCGUGCCUAAUACAUGCAAGUCGAGCGAACAGACGAUGCUCUUGCUCCUCUGACGUUAGCGGCGGACGUGUGAGUAACACGUGUAUCACCUCCCUAUCUUACUGAGAUCACUUCGGGACACCGGCUCUUAUACCGUAUAAUCUCUUGCACCGUAUGGUUCAUUAGUGAAAGACGGCUUUUCUGUCUCUACUCGCUGCUUCCCCGCGGCAUUAGCUAGUUGUUAAGGUAACGGCUUACCAAGGCAACGAUGCGUAGACGAACUGAGAGGGGGAUAGGCCACCCUGGAACUGAGACACGGUCAAGACUCCUAAGGGAGGCAGCAGUAGGGAAUGUUACGCAAUGGGCGAAAGUAUGACGGAGCAACGCCGAGUGAGUGAUGAAGGUCUUCGGAUCGUAAAAAUCUGUUAUUAGGGAAGAACAAAUGUGUAAGUAACUAUGCACGUCUUGACGGUACCUAAUCAGAAAGCCACGGCUAACUACGUG